AGAGUUUGAUCAUGGCUCAGAUUGAACGCUGGCGGCAUGCCUUACACAUGCAAGUCGAACGGCAGCACGGGGGCAACCCUGGUGGCGAGUGGCGAACGGGUGAGUAAUACAUCGGAACGUGUCCUGUAGUGGGGGAUAGCCCGGCGAAAGCCGGAUUAAUACCGCAUACGAUCUACGGAAGAAAGCGGGGGAUCGCAAGACCUCGCGCUAUAGGGGCGGCCGAUGGCAGAUUAGCUAGUUGGUGGGGUAAAGGCCUACCAAGGCGACGAUCUGUAGCUGGUCUGAGAGGACGACCAGCCACACUGGGACUGAGACACGGCCCAGACUCCUACGGGAGGCAGCAGUGGGGAAUUUUGGACAAUGGGGGAAACCCUGAUCCAGCAAUGCCGCGUGUGUGAAGAAGGCCUUCGGGUUGUAAAGCACUUUUGUCCGGAAAGAAAACCUCUUGGCUAAUAUCUAGGGGGGAUGACGGUACCGGAAGAAUAAGCACCGGCUAACUACGUGCCAGCAGCCGCGGUAAUACGUAGGGUGCGAGCGUUAAUCGGAAUUACUGGGCGUAAAGCGUGCGCAGGCGGUUCGUUAAGACAGAUGUGAAAUCCCCGGGCUUAACCUGGGAACUGCAUUUGUGACUGGCGAGCUAGAGUAUGGCAGAGGGGGGUAGAAUUCCACGUAGCAGUGAAAUGCGUAGAGAUGUGGAGGAAUACCGAUGGCGAAGGCAGCCCCCUGGGCCAAUACUGACGCUCAUGCACGAAAGCGUGGGGAGCAAACAGGAUUAGAUACCCUAGUAGUCC
rnacentral:rRNA from 1 species